rnacentral:rRNA from 1 species
GAUGAACGCUGGCGGCGUGCCUAAUACAUGCAAGUCGAGCGAACAGACGAGGAGCUUGCUCCUUUGACGUUAGCGGCGGACGGGUGAGUAACACGUGGAUAACCUACCUAUAAGACUGGGAUAACUUCGGGAAACCGGAGCUAAUACCGGAUAACAUGUUGAACCGCAUGGUUCAACAGUGAAAGACGGUCUUGCUGUCACUUAUAGAUGGAUCCGCGCCGCAUUAGCUAGUUGGUAAGGUAACGGCUUACCAAGGCAACGAUGCGUAGCCGACCUGAGAGGUUGAUCGGCCACACUGGAACUGAGCCACGGUCCAGACUCCUACGGUAGGCAGCAGUAUGGAAUCUUCCGCAAUGGGCGAAACCCUGACGGAGCAACGCCGCGUGAGUGAAGAAGGUCUUCGGAUCGUAAAACUCUGUUAUUAGGGAAGAACAAAUGUGUAAGUAACUAUGCACGUCUUGACGGUCCCUAAUCAGAAAGCCACGGCUAACUACGUG